rfam:Eimeria maxima Weybridge genomic scaffold, Emw_scaff2121
AACGGAGUAGAGCAGUUUGGUAGCUCGUCGGGCUCAUGAUCCGAAGGUCAACGGUUCAAUUCCGUUCUCCGUUU